GACGAACGCUGGCGGCGUGCUUAACACAUGCAAGUCGAACGGAAAGGCCCUGCUUUUGUGGGGUGCUCGAGUGGCGAACGGGUGAGUAACACGUGAGUAACCUGCCCUUGCCUUUGGGAUAACUUCAGGACACUGGGGCUAAUCCCGGAUAGGAGCUCCUGCUGCAUGGUGGGGGUUGGAAAGUUUCGGCGGUUGGGGAUGGAAUCGCGGCGUAUCAGCUUGUUGGUGUGGUAGUGGCUUACCAAGGCUUUGACGGGUAGCCUGCCUGAGAGGGGGACCGGCCACAUUGGGACUGAGAUACGGCCCAGACUCCUACGGGAGGCAGCAGUGGGGAAUAGUACACAAGGGGCGGAAGCCUGAUGCAACAACGCAGCGUGCGGGAUGACGUCCUUCGGGUUGUAAACCGCUUUCGCCUGUGACGAAGCGUUAGUGACGGUAAUGGGUAAAGAAGCACCGGCUAACUACGUG
rnacentral:rRNA from 1 species